rnacentral:rRNA from 1 species
AUUGAACGCUGGCGGCAUGCCUUACACAUGCAAGUCGAACGGUAACAGGUCUUCGGAUGCUGACGAGUGGCGAACGGGUGAGUAAUACAUCGGAACGUGCCUAGUAGUGGGGGAUAACUACUCGAAAGAGUGGCUAAUACCGCAUGAGAUCUACGGAUGAAAGCAGGGGAUCGCAAGACCUUGUGCUACUAGAGCGGCCGAUGGCAGAAUAGGUAGUUGGUGGGAAAAAAGCUUACAAAGCCGACGAGCUGUAGCUGGUCUGAGAGGACGAUCAGCCACAAUGGGACUGAGACACGGCCCAGACUCCUACGGGAGGCAGCAGUGGGGAAUUUUGGACAAUGGGCGCAAGCCUGAUCCAGCAAUGCCGCGUGCAGGAUGAAGGCCUUCGGGUUGUAGACUGCUUUUGUACGGAACGGAAAGCCCUGGGUUAAUACCCUGGGGUCAUGACGGUACCGUAAGAAUAAGCACCGGCUAACUACGUGCCAGCCGCCGCCGUAA